UACAGAGGGGGGCAAGCGUUAUUCGGAAUUAUUGGGCGUAAAGGGCGCGUAGGCGGCUUUGCAAGUGACGGGUGAAAUCCCUCGGCUUAACCGAGGAACUGCCUGUCAAACUGCAUGGCUUGAGACCGGGAGAGGUGAGUGGAAUUCCCAGUGUAGCGGUGAAAUGCGUAGAUAUUGGGAGGAACACCAGUGGCGAAGGCGGCUCACUGGACCGGUACUGACGCUGAUGCGCGAAAGCGUGGGGAGCAAACAGG
rnacentral:rRNA from 1 species